rnacentral:rRNA from 1 species
UACGUAGGUGACAAGCGUUGUCCGGAUUUACUGGGCGUAAAGAGCGCGCAGGCGGUCGUUCAAGUCGAGUGUGAAAGCCCCCGGCUCAACCUGGGGGAGGGUCACUCGAUACUGAUCGACUCGAAGGCAGGAGAGGGAAGUGGAAUUCCCGGGUGUAGUGGUGAAAUGCGUAGAUAUCGGGAGGAACACCAGUGGCGAAGGCGGGUCGCUGG